UAUUUAUUACUGAUUCCUAUUCUUUUGGAUAAUACUCUUUUAAUGGGUUAAUGACCACACAAUUCCCACUUGCACGUUAAAUUAUUUUUCAACUUUUCAGCAAACAUUCACCGCCUACGGCAAACCCCUGAUCUUCUUCAUCAAUUCAUUCGCUUGAUUCAAUGUAUCUUUCUCAAUCAUUUCAACCGACCCUUCAUUUCGUCCAUCGUUCUUCGAGGAUUCUGCUUCUAUGGGUUUCACGAUUCAUUCUCUUUAAUGGUAAUUAUUCAUCUCCCAAUUCCUAAGCAGGGCUUAAUCAAUAUUGUUUCUUUCUGAUUAUUGGUAUUUCCUGAUUAUUGUGCCCAUCUAUAAAUAUGACAAAUUCCUUUUCUGGAUUAUCAUUAACCUCUAAUCCUUCUAUCUGUUGCUUCGGUUUUUUUAAUGGUUGCUGCAAGACGCGAUUUUGUUACUGAAAUCACUCCGGCAAAAGAAUCAUGGGAUGUUGUUGUUCGAGUUAUUCGCUUAUGGUUUGUUCCAGACAUGAAUUCGAAACAAAAAUAUUAUGCGAUGGAAAUGGUUCUAAUGGAUGAGAAGGGUGGCAAGAUUCAGGCUUCUGUUCGAAAAGCUUUGCUCUAUCGAUUUGAUAACAAGGUUCGUGAGGGUAAUGUUUAUAAAUUUAAACAUUUUGGUGUCGCCGCUAAUACUGGAGCGUAUAGGACCACAAAACAUCAGUUCAAAUUGAGUUUGCAUAAUUCCACCGUGGUUAUAGAAUUUGGUGCUGAUCUGAUAACUUUCUCCCCUUACUCAUUUGUAUCUUUCCCAGAGAUAGUUGGGAAAAUUGACAUGGACUACUUGAUUGAUGUUGUGGCCAUUUUGUCUGGAGUUGGAUGUGAACGAGUCUAUGAAAGGAAUGGAGUAACUACUAAGUUUAAGGUGUCUAAUGGUAUGAAGCUUGACUGUACACUCUUUGGACCAUAUGUUGAUGAGCUUGAUUCAUACCUUGAAUCGGGUAACCGCGGCACUAUUGUUGUGCUUGCUAAAUUUCUGAAAGUCAAGAUGUAUAACGGAAAAAUCCAGAUGCAGAAUGCAAUGAAUUGUACCAAACUAUUGUUCGACCCAAAAACACCUGAGGCGGAUAGUUUAAAACUGAACCAUUUAGUUAUAUGAAGGAUGUUUCUGAGAUGAGUUUAGAAGAGGAUUUCUUAAAUUUGAGUCAGCGCAAAACAAUUGAGGAGCUAAAGGACUGUCAAGAUAACAUGGUUUGUGUUGUGUUAGGCACAAUCAAACAUGUUGUUGGUGGCAAUGAUUGGUGGUAUGCUGCAUGUGUCUGCAACAAGGCAGUCGUUGUAGAUUCCAAAAGGUUUUUCUGCCCAAAGUGUGAACAGCAUGU